UUGAACGCUGGCGGCAGGCCUAACACAUGCAAGUCGAGCGGUAGCACAGAGAGCUUGCUCUCGGGUGACGAGCGGCGGACGGGUGAGUAAUGUCUGGGAAACUGCCUGAUGGAGGGGGAUAACUACUGGAAACGGUAGCUAAUACCGCAUAACGUCGCAAGACCAAAGUGGGGGACCUUCGGGCCUCAUGCCAUCAGAUGUGCCCAGAUGGGAUUAGCUAGUAGGUGGGGUAACGGCUCACCUAGGCGACGAUCCCUAGCUGGUCUGAGAGGAUGACCAGCCACACUGGAACUGAGACACGGUCCAGACUCCUACGGGAGGCAGCAGUGGGGAAUAUUGCACAAUGGGCGCAAGCCUGAUGCAGCCAUGCCGCGUGUGUGAAGAAGGCCUUCGGGUUGUAAAGCACUUUCAGCGGGGAGGAAGGCGAUAAGGUUAAUAACCUUGUCGAUUGACGUUACCCGCAGAAGAAGCACCGGCUAACUCCGUGCCAGCAGCCGCGGUAAUACGGAGGGUGCAAGCGUUAAUCGGAAUUACUGGGCGUAAAGCGCACGCAGGCGGUCUGUCAAGUCGGAUGUGAAAUCCCCGGGCUCAACCUGGGAACUGCAUUCGAAACUGGCAGGCUAGAGUCUUGUAGAGGGGGGUAGAAUUCCAGGUGUAGCGGUGAAAUGCGUAGAGAUCUGGAGGAAUACCGGUGGCGAAGGCGGCCCCCUGGACAAAGACUGACGCUCAGGUGCGAAAGCGUGGGGAGCAAACAGGAUUAGAUACCCUGGUAGUCCACACCGUAAACGAUGGAUACUAGGUGUAGGGAACGAUAUGUUUUCUGUGCCGAAAGCAAACGCAAUAAGUAUCCCACCUGGGGAGUACGGCCGCAAGGUUAAAACUCAAAUGAAUUGACGGGGGCCCGCACAAGCGGUGGAGCAUGUGGUUUAAUUCGAUGCAACGCGAAGAACCUUACCUGGUCUUGACAUCCACAGAACUUUCCAGAGAUGGAUUGGUGCCUUCGGGAACUGUGAGACAGGUGCUGCAUGGCUGUCGUCAGCUCGUGUUGUGAAAUGUUGGGUUAAGUCCCGCAACGAGCGCAACCCUUAUCCUUUGUUGCCAGCGGUUCGGCCGGGAACUCAAAGGAGACUGCCAGUGAUAAACUGGAGGAAGGUGGGGAUGACGUCAAGUCAUCAUGGCCCUUACGACCAGGGCUACACACGUGCUACAAUGGCAUAUACAAAGAGAAGCGACCUCGCGAGAGCAAGCGGACCUCAUAAAGUAUGUCGUAGUCCGGAUUGGAGUCUGCAACUCGACUCCAUGAAGUCGGAAUCGCUAGUAAUCGUAGAUCAGAAUGCUACGGUGAAUACGUUCCCGGGCCUUGUACACACCGCCCGUCACACCAUGGGAGUGGGUUGCAAAAGAAGUAGGUAGCUUAACCUUCGGGAGGGCGCUUACCACUUUGUGAUUCAUGACUGGGGUG
rnacentral:rRNA from 1 species